rnacentral:misc_RNA from 1 species
GUAUUUUGAAUUAUUUUAUUCAUAAUAUUUUUCAGACAAAGAGUUAAAAAUUAGGUUGAUGUUUGGCCGAUCUCCAUAAAGAUCGACUGACAUUGCACACAAGGUGGAUAUGGAUUUAAAAAGUGCCAUAAAACACUUAUUAUGAAUGAUCCUUCCGCAGGUUUACCUACGGAAA